GGCAUGGUGGUGCAGUUGGUAGCAUUGUCGCCUCACAGCAAGAAGGUCUGGGUUCGAAUCCAGCCGGGGUC
rnacentral:tRNA from 1 species